rnacentral:rRNA from 1 species
CCUACGGGUGGCAGCAGUGGGGAAUAUUGCACAAUGGGGGAAACCCUGAUGCAGCGACGCCGCGUGAGUGAAGAAGUCUUUCGGUAUGUAAAGCUCUAUCAGCAGGGAAGAAAAUGACGGUACCUGAUUAAGAAGCCCCGGCUAACUACGUGCCAGCAGCCGCGGUAAUACGUAGGGGGCACGCGUUAUCCGGAUUUACUGGGGGUAAGGGGAGCGUAGACGGCAGUACAAGUCUGGCGUGAAAUGCCGGGGCUUAACCCAGGAACUGCUUUGGAAACUGGGCAGCUAGAGUGCAGGAGAGGGAAGUGGAAUUCCAGGUGUAGCGGUGAAAUGCGUAGAGAUCAGGAGGAAUACCAGUGGCGAAGGCGGCUCACUGGACUGUAACUGACGUUGAGGUGCGAAAGCGUGGGGAGCAAACAGGAUUAGAUACCCCUGUAGUC